GACGAACGCUGGCGGCGUGCUUAACACAUGCAAGUCGAACGGAAAGGCCCUGCUUUUGUGGGGUGCUGGAGUGGCGAACGGGUGAGUAACACGUGAGUAACCUGCCCUUGACUUUGGGAUAACUUCAGGAAACUGGGGCUAAUACCGUAUAGGAGCUCCUGCUGCAUGGUGGGGGUUGGAAAUUUUCGGCGGUUGGGGAUGGACUCGCGGCUUAUCAGCUUGUUGGUGGGGUAGUGGCUUACCAAGGCUUGGACGGGUAGCCGGCCUGAGAGGGUGACCGGCGACAUUGGGACUGAGAGACGGACCAGACUCCUACGGGAGGCAGAAGUGGGGAAUAUGGCACAAUGGGCGGAAGCCUGAUGCAGAAACGCCGCGUGCGGGAUGACGGCCUUCGGGUUGUAAAACGCUUUCGCCUGUGACGAAGCGUGAGUGACGGUAAUGGGUAAAGAAGCACCAGCUAACUACGUG
rnacentral:rRNA from 1 species